rnacentral:rRNA from 1 species
CAUGCAAGUCGAACGAGUUCUCGUUGAUGAUCGGUGCUUGCACCGAGAUUCAACAUGGAACGAGUGGCGGACGGGUGAGUAACACGUGGGUAACCUGCCCUUAAGUGGGGGAUAACAUUUGGAAACAGAUGCUAAUACCGCAUAGAUCCAAGAACCGCAUGGUUCUUGGCUGAAAGAUGGCGUAAGCUAUCGCUUUUGGAUGGACCCGCGGCGUAUUAGCUAGUUGGUGAGGUAAUGGCUCACCAAGGCGAUGAUACGUAGCCGAACUGAGAGGUUGAUCGGCCACAUUGGGACUGAGACACGGCCCAAACUCCUACGGGAGGCAGCAGUAGGGAAUCUUCCACAAUGGACGCAAGUCUGAUGGAGCAACGCCGCGUGAGUGAAGAAGGCUUUCGGGUCGUAAAACUCUGUUGUUGGAGAAGAAUGGUCGGCAGAGUAACUGUUGUCGGCGUGACGGUAUCCAACCAGAAAGCCACGGCUAACUACGUGCCAGCAGCCGCGGUAAUACGUAGGUGGCAAGCGUUAUCCGGAUUUAUUGGGCGUAAAGCGAGCGCAGGCGGUUUUUUAAGUCUGAUGUGAAAGCCCUCGGCUUAACCGAGGAAGCGCAUCGGAAACUGGGAAACUUGAGUGCAGAAGAGGACAGUGGAACUCCAUGUGUAGCGGUGAAAUGCGUAGAUAUAUGGAAGAACACCAGUGGCGAAGGCGGCUGUCUGGUCUGUAACUGACGCUGAGGCU